rnacentral:lncRNA from 1 species
CACCAUUUAUAGUCCCCCGUUCCGUCCUUCUCUUUUCCCCAACCGCCGAAUUUCUCGCUAAAAGCCUAAAACCUCAAGAAAAACAACACAAAGUCUUUCUCCGCCACCACAUUGGAGGAACAAAACCAUGUUGGCCGCAAUAAAAGAUGGACUCAAAAUCCACCUCCAACGCCACUCCUCCGUUCGCAAUGUAUGGACGAGUCGCCGGAACUCGAUCACGGACCCGAUUGCAACCUCAAAUGGUUUUGCUAAUCAACUUGCUCAUCAACUCCGACAAUCCAAAUCGUGUUCGCGUUAUCCUCAAUCUAUAUUCCGGAGAACCAAAGAGGUCGAGAUUUCGCCGACCAGUGUAAUGUCUUCACCUUCAAAAUUUGGACCAGUGAGCUGGUACCUGAGCAUGAUAAAGUCCCGCCCUAUUGUAACCAAAAGUAUUACCUCUGCCGUCAUUUAUUCCGCCGCUGAUUUUUCUUCACAGGUACCUAUUUCCUCUUUACUUAAAUAUGAAAAUGAUAAAGCCUUUGCUCGGUUGAUUUAUAUGCUACUGAGUCUACAAAGCUCCAAAAUGAACAAUUUUAUCUGUCAAAGCUCAUACAAGCAGUCGAUUUGCAAGAACCAUAUUCUCAAACGAGCCAUUAGACUGCUGUGCAUAUUAAAAGUAAAUUUUCAGAUUGCUUAAAUAUGAAAAUAAUAAUGAGUAUACUAGUAAUUGGACAAUUCCUCAUCCUCUUAAUAAGGCCGAGAUGGAACUCAUAACUUUAAUGUAUCUGCUAAAAAUUGUGAAGUGUGAAAAGUGAGGACAAGAUCUGUAUUAAUUAUUGCCUUAUUUCUAACUUGUAUGACUUGUAUGGGUGUGUUACUUAUCAAAUUUAAUGCAGAGUAUUGUGGAGAAAUCUUCAGAAGGGUACGAUUAUGUGAGGACGUUGCGAAUGGCUGGUUAUGGGAUGAUAAUAUUAGGACCUUCAUUGCACUAUUGGUUUAAUUUUGUGUCGAGAGUUUUUCCAAAGCGUGAUCUCCCGUCAACAUUUAAAAAAAUGGCUUUGGGGCAAACAGUAUAUGGGCCUACAAUGACUUCUAUUUUCUUCUCAGUUAAUGCAGCUUUACAAGGUUAAUCUCAAUCUUUUACAAUUAUUUCUAUGCUUUUGUAGGCUCUUAGUUUUUUUUCUUUGGCAUUUUUAUACAUGAAUUUAACCUUGAUCAUAUUGACGUUUGUGAUUGCUGCAAAGAGCUAAUCUGGAGUUUCAGCCAACAUUUUAUGUCAUAUAUCGGUUAAUGAAUCUGAAAAUGGGAAAGAGUGAGAAGUAGCAGCGAUCAUAGACACUAUCAAGGAAGAUACUUGUCUUGUUCCAUCCAAGAAGCCUGUCUGGUGCUAACUUUAACCAGAAAUAAAUAGGAAAAGUUAAACUUCUAAAAAUUUAUAAAAUUCUACACACUAUAUGAUGCAGAGAGAGGGGGGGGGGGGAGUGAGUUAAAUAUAAAUUUUUUCUAGAGGCUUAUCUAAUUCCCUUUAUGCGGAUGAAAGACGAUAGAGAUAUUUUACACCAACAUUUUAAGCUAUAUUUGCUUCGUGUAGUGCAUGUAAUUCUUGAGGCUUAAGGGUAAAUGUGUAUGUAUAACCUCAUUUAUACAUUGAUGCGCAAGUAUAAAUUAUGUGUACAUAUGCAAUGCUUACCUGGCAUGAAAAUGCAUGGUGACAUGCUUGAAUCGUUGGUUCAACUACAUAGGGGAGAAAAAGGUUUUAUAACUUACUUCCUUUUUUCUUUUUCAUUUUCCUUUUCCUUUCGCUCUCAAACAGUCCACUUUCUUUGGGCGUACCUGUGAUUUGGUUAUUGAUGCAGCUAGUAGCGGAAAACAAUUCUUAACUGUUGGUACCAAAAAUAAAGCACAGUAGCAUGGGCUGCAAUAAAUGCCCUAGCUGUGCUUUGAGCCCUAAGCAAUAGUUUAUUAAUAUGGAUUAAAAACUUUUUUUCCUCGUUUUUGGAACCUAAUUUUUCCUAUGCCUUAAGUUUUGAUGACUCGCAGAUCAUAUUAGGUCAGCAGCAGCCCAUUAACAUUUAUGAAGUUAUCUCAUAGAGACUUAUGGCAGCAUGUUGUAUGAGUAGAAAGAACAAAAUACAUUGAGAUGUGAAUGGCAAUAUAAACCUCAUAAUCUCACAAAAUAAAAGUGGAAAACACGAGACGUGGGAAAGCAAAGAGACAUGUAAGUUCUUAGUUAAGUAACGGAAACAAGAAGCUUAUAAUUACAAAAUUCAGUUUCCGAACGCAACACGACUUCGCAAAAUAUAAAAUAAAAAUUCAAUUUCAAAUACUGAUUGACCUUUUGAUGCUCCUUGUAUUGUUUUUGGAGGCUGAACACUAGGUAAAUGCUUUCAUCUGUUUGUCUGAAUUUCAUUUUUACAUGACAUUUAAUUGCUUUCCAUGAUGUCCAAUAUUUGGUUAAUAAUUGCAGGUAUAGGUGCAGUAUUUUAUAUGUAUGCAAACCAUGUUGCUAAAAUUUUAUUGUGAUACAAGAGAUUUAUUUAUAUAGAAAGAGCUUGGGCACAGUUUCAAUGUUUGUGGAAUAGAUGAUUUGUUUUGUAUGGCGAGACUUGUUUUUAACUGAUGUUAACUCUUUGCUGCCAUACUCAGGUGAAACUGGUUCUGAGAUUGUUGCUCGAUUGAAGCGAGAUUUGGUUCCUACCAUACUUAGUGGUAUUAUGUACUGGCCUGGGUGUGAUUUUGUGACAUUUAAAUUCAUCCCUGUUAAUUUACAGGUGAGAUCAUAUGUCUGAUAAGAUGACUGUUGAAUUGAUUCUCAAUUUAUGAUUUCCUGGGAAUGAAAAUUGGAAAAUCUGUAUUUUUUUAUACAAAAAAUGGAAGGAUUGAUUUCACAUUGGAGAAAAAAUCGAAUAUUCAUCGAUCAAAUCAUUCACUCCAUAGUCUGAUAAUGCUUCUGAUAGGCAAUUGCAGAACUGUUAACUUGAAAAUAAUUACAUUUUAUUUCAUGCUCAGUAGAGAAGAUAAAUUUAAAGAUGUUUGUGCUUUUGUUAUUGCAGCCACUAGUGAGCAACGGAUUUUCAUAUCUGUGGACAGUAUACAUGACAUAUAUGGCCAGUUUAGAGAAAGUUAGCACGGUCUGAAUGCAUCUUCUCACCAUCUUCCCCUAUGAAUUCUCCCACCUUAUUGUUCCACGUGGGCAAUUACAUGGGAUCUCUUAGUAAUGCAAGAAGCAGAAGCCACGGGCUGCAGAAUUAUUGGCUAGUAUCCUUUCAACAAGAAGAUUAAUUUGCAAUCUUUUAAGUUCUUUGCAGAAACUACUAGGUGAAGGCUACAUGUGUUACAUCAGGUGGCUGGUUAUUUGUAACCCUCGUUAGUUCUCAUCAUUUUGUUGUAUUUUGUUUAUUUUUCAAAGCUCCAUAUCAACAUCCUCCUCCCUCUGGGUUGGCUGGUACGUGAAUACAUUCACCCGCUUUUGAGGUCUUAAUGUUUUACCUUUUUGUGAAUACUUCUCUCUCGUGUUCAAAGGCUUUAUAUCUCCCUCUUAAGUGAGCUUUGCAAUUGGUCAUAUGGUAAGGGUCGAAUGUUUAAUUGUCGGAUUUUUGCCACUUUGCCUGAUGAAUUUUACCACAUACAGUCACAUAAUCCUAUGUGAAAGUAGAUGAUUUGAUGAAAAAAAACUAACAGUAUUUUAAACAGUCCAAUGAUAGGAUGUCAUGUGGCAUUAUGUCAAUGAUUAUGACACUGUAAUGUGAUUGUUAAUUGUUCAGAC